UACGUAGGGUGCGAGCGUUGUCCGGAAUUAUUGGGCGUAAAGAGCUUGUAGGCGGUUUGUCGCGUCUGCUGUGAAAAUCCGGGGCUCAACCCCGGGCUUGCAGUGGGUACGGGCAGACUGGAGUGUGGUAGGGGAGACUGGAAUUCCUGGUGUAGCGGUGGAAUGCGCAGAUAUCAGGAGGAACACCGAUGGCGAAGGCAGGUCUCUGGGCAGUAACUGACGCUGAGGAGCGAAAGCGUGGGGAGCGAACAGG
rnacentral:rRNA from 1 species